AGUGAACGCUGGCGGUAGGCCUAACACAUGCCAGUCGAACGGCAGCACAGUAAGAGCUUGCUCUUACGGGUGGCGAGUGGCGGACGGGUGAGGAAUACAUCGGAAUCUACUUUUUCGUGGGGGAUAACGUAGGGAAACUUACGCUAAUACCGCAUACGACCUACGGGUGAAAGCAGGGGAUCUUCGGACCUUGCGCGAUUGAAUGAGCCGAUGUCGGAUUAGUUAGUUGGCGGGGUAAAGGCCCACCAAGGCGACGAUCCGUAGCUGGUCUGAGAGGAGGAUCAGCCACACUGGAACUGAGACACGGUCCAGACUCCUACGGGAGGCAGCAGUGGGGAAUAUUGGACAAUGGGCGCAAGCCUGAUCCAGCCAUACCGCGUGGGUGAAGAAGGCCUUCGGGUUGUAAAGCCCUUUUGUUGGGAAAGAAAAGCAGCAGGUUAAUACCCCGCUGUUCUGACGGUACCCAAAGAAUAAGCACCGGCUAACUUCGUG
rnacentral:rRNA from 1 species